rnacentral:rRNA from 1 species
GAUGAACGCUGGCGGCGUGCCUAAUACAUGCAAGUCGAGCGAACAGACGAUGCGCUUGCUCCUCUGAUGUUAGCGGCGGACGGGUGAGUAACACGUGGAUAACCUACCUAUAAGACUGGGAUAACUUCGGGAAACCGGAGCUAAUACCGGAUAACAUGUUGAACCGCAUGGUUCAACAGUGAAAGACGGUUUUGCUGUCACUUCUAGAUGGAUCCGCGCCGCAUUAGCUAGUUGGUAAGGUAACGGCUUACCAAGGCAACGAUGCGUAGCCGACCUGAGAGGGUGAUCGGCCACACUGGGACUGAGACACGGUCCAGACUCCUACGGGAGGCAGAAGUAGGGAAUCUUCCGAAAUGGGCGAAAGCCUGACGGAGCAACGCCGCGUGAGUGAAGAAGGUCUGCGGAUCGUAAAACUCUGUUAUGAGGGAAGAACAAAUGUGUAAGUAACUAUGCACGUCUUGACGGUACCUAAUCAGAAAGCCACGGCUAACUACGUG